ensembl:snoRNA
AACAUGCUUCCUUAGAUCCACCUUUGUGGAUGAAUCUUGAAUUGAGUUCUACUUGUAAACAUCUUGUUUCUUGUAGUUCCAGUCCAAGAAACAUCCAGCAACUUUGUUGGUUGUAUAGUCGAAGGUGCUUGAGUCAUUGGCAUGUGAGAUUAAUAUACCUGCACGUUAGUCAUAAGGUUCUGAUGGAAAUGACGUGCGUUAUGCUGUCGUGUGUUACUGUCAGGACUCGACUGGCGUGCGGACACU